rnacentral:piRNA from 1 species
UGGUUUUUGACUUGAUGUAAUAUAGGAGAC